UAAUGAGCCGGCGAGUUACGAUACCUAGCGAGGUUAAGCAGCAUCUGCUGCGGAGCCGCAGCGAAAGCGAGUCUGAAUAGGGCGAUUUAGUUAGGUGGCGUAGACCCGAAACCGAGUGAUCUAACCAUGGCCAGGGUGAAACAGGUCUGAUCGCCUGUGGAGGCCCGAACCCACUUAUGUUGAAAAAUGAGGGGAUGAGCUGUGGUUAGGGGUGAAAGACCAAUCAAACUCGGAGAUAGCUGGUUCUCCUCGAAAUAGCUUUAGGGCUAGCCUCAAAUGUUUGCCUAUGGAGGUAGAGCACUGAAUGGACUAAGGGCCCCACCAGGUUACUGAACCCAAUCAAACUCCGAAUACCAUAGGUUUAUAGUUUGGGAGUCAGACUGCGGGGGAUAAGCUUCGUAGUCGAAAGGGAAACAGCCCAGACCAGCAGCUAAGGUCCCCAAGUGCAAGCUAAGUGUGAAAGGAAGUGGAAUUACAAAGACAGCCAGGAUGUUGGCUCAGAGGCAGCCAUCAUUUAAAAAGUGCGUAACAGCUUACUGGUCAAGUGAUUCUGCACCGAAAAUGUACGGGGCUAAAGUUUGCCACCGAAGCUCUGGAUCCAGAAUUUAUUCUGGGUGGUAGAGGAGCGUUCCUUUAUGGGAUGAAGGGUAACCGUAAGGAUGCCUGGACUAAAAGGAAGUGAGAAUGCCGGCAUUAGUAACGAUAAGGAGAGUGAGAAUCUCUCCCGCCGAAAACCUAAGGUUUCCUGGGGAAGGUAAAUCCGCCCAGGGUUAGUCGGAACCUAAGCCGAGGCCGAAAGGCGUAGGCGAUGGACAACCGGUCAACAUUCCGGUACUACCAGAUUAUCGCUUUAAGUGAUGGGGGGACGCAGGAAGGUAGGUCAGCACGAUAAAAGUUACGUGUCCAAGCCUGAUGUGGGAAGAGAUAGGAAAAUCCGUCUCUUAUUAAAACCCUAAGAGGUGAUAGGGAGCUACUAUGGUAGCGAACUGAUUGAUCCUACACUGCCAAGAAAAGCCUCUAAACAAGAUAAACUGGUAUCCGUACUAAAACCGACACAGGUAGGUAGGUAGAGAAUACCAAGGCGCUCGAGAUAACCCUCGUUAAGGAACUCGGCAAAAUGACUCCGUAACUUCGGGAGAAGGAGUGCCCCGGUAGGGUGACCCAAUUUACUUGGUUAGCCUGAAGGGGUUGCAAAGAAACGGCCCAAGCGACUGUUUACUAAAAACACAGGUCUCUGCUAAAUCGAAAGAUGAUGUAUAGGGACUGACGCCUGCCCGGUGCUGGAAGGUUAAGGAAGGGGGUUACUCCUCGUAAGAGGGGGAAGCUCUUGAUCGAAGCCCCGGUAAACGGCGGCCGUAACUAUAACGGUCCUAAGGUAGCGAAAUUCCUUGUCGGGUAAGUUCCGACCUGCACGAAUGGCGUAACGAUUUGGGCACUGUCUCAACGAGGGACUCGGUGAAGUUGUAGUGUAAGUGAAGAUGCUUACUACCCGCGACAGGACGGAAAGACCCCGUGAACCUUUACUGUAGCCUGAUAUUGAAUUUUAGCAUAUCCUGUGUAGGAUAGGUGGUAGGCUGUGAAAGAGGGGCGUUAGCCUCUCCGGAGCCAACCUUGAAAUACCACCCUUGAUAUGUUUAGAUUCUAACCUUUCGCCGUUAUCCGGCAAAGGGACAGUAUUUGGUAGGCAGUUUGAC
rnacentral:rRNA from 1 species